rnacentral:rRNA from 1 species
CAAGUCGAGCGGCAGCGCGGGGCAACCUGGCGGCGAGCGGCGAACGGGUGAGUAAUGCAUCGGAACAUGUCCAUGUCGUGGGGGAUAGCCCGGCGAAAGCCGGAUUAAUACCGCAUACGCCCGAGAGGGGAAAGUGGGGGACCGCAAGGCCUCACGCGAUUGGGUUGGCCGAUGUCCGAUUAGCUAGUUGGCGGGGUAAUGGCCCACCAAGGCGAUGAUCGGUAGCUGGUCUGAGAGGAUGAUCAGCCACACUGGGACUGAGACACGGCCCAGACUCCUACGGGAGGCAGCAGUGGGGAAUUUUGGACAAUGGGGGCAACCCUGAUCCAGCCAUUCCGCGUGAGUGAAGAAGGCCUUCGGGUUGUAAAGCUCUUUUGUCCGGAACGAAACGGUGAACGUGAAUAUCGUUCGCUACUGACGGUACCGGAAGAAUAAGCACCGGCUAACUACGUGCCAGCAGCCGCGGUAAUACGUAGGGUGCGAGCGUUAAUCGGAAUUACUGGGCGUAAAGCGUGCGCAGGCGGUUUUGUAAGCCAGAUGUGAAAUCCCCGGGCUUAACCUGGGAAUGGCAUUUGGGACUGCAAGGCUGGAGUGUGGCAGAGGAGACUGGAUUUCCUGGUGUAGCAGUGAAAUGCGUAGAUAUCAGGAGGAAUACCGAUGGCGAAGGCAGGUCUCUGGGCUGACACUGACGCUCAUGCACGAAAGCGUGGGGAGCAAACAGGAUUAGAUACCCUGGUAGUCCACGCCCUAAACGAUGUCGACUGGUUGUUGGGGGUUUGACACUCUCAGUAACGAAGCUAACGCGUGAAGUCGACCGCCUGGGGAGUACGGCCGCAAGGUUAAAACUCAAAGGAAUUGACGGGGACCCGC